GACGAACGCUGGCGGCGUGCUUAACACAUGCAAGUCGAACGGAAAGGCCCUGCUUUUGUGGGGUGCUCGAGUGGCGAACGGGUGAGUAACAAGUGAGUAACCUGCCCUUGACUAUGGGAUAACUUCAGGAAACUGGGGCUAAUACCGGAUAGGAGCUCCUGCUGCAAGGCGGGGGUUGGAAAGUUUCGGCGGUUGGGGAUGGACUCGCGGCGUAUCAGCUUGGUGGUGGGGUAGUGGCUUACCAAGGCUUUGACGGGUAGCCGGCCUGAGAGGGUGACCGGCCACAUUAGGACGGAGAUACGGCCCAGACUCCUACGGGAGGCAGCAGUGGGGAAGAUUGCACAAUGGGCGGAAGCCUGAUGCAGCAACGCCGCGUGCGGGAUAACGGCCUGCGGGUUGUAAACCGCUUUCGCCUGUGACGAAGCGUGAGUGACGGUAAUGGGUAAAGAAGCACCGGCUAACUACGUG
rnacentral:rRNA from 1 species